UUUUAGGUGUAUUCGGUUUUCCAAGGGUUAAUGAUUCAAGUAACUUGUCCGCAAAUGAUACAAAUGCCAAUAUAACUCCUCAAGAAACACGUAAUGACUGGCUCACAAAUUUAAGAAAUUUCUAUUCUGAAUUUUAUAAUCGAGUUUUUCAUCCUCAAAUUUCAACAAGUAACUUGUCCGCAGAUGAUACAAAUAACAUUACGACUUCAGAUCAUACUGAUGCAAAUACAACUCCUCUAGAUACAAAUGACAAUACGACUUCUCAAGAUACAAGUGAUGAUUAAGAAAUACCACUCAAAUAGCAAAUUAAAAAAGGAUAAUAUUUCAUAAUUGUACUACUAUAAUUUUGUAAAAGUUAUUUGUGUAAUAAGUUUAUUUUCACCCACUUUUUAAUUAGU